rnacentral:lncRNA from 1 species
UCGAACUUUUCAAUUUUUUUUAUUUGAGUUUGUCGUAUUUUCACUUUAAAAGUUAAGCUCACUGUUUACUGUAAUAAAUUUAGCAUUUUAAGAAUUGUAUGAAGUACACUAGCUAAAUCGGGAAAAAAAAUAUUGAUGGAUUUAAAUUCUGAAACCAAAGUGUUGUUAAUCAAAUCAAAGCAAAUAAAUUGAAAGAUUAGAUAGUAAAAUUAAAAUUUUAAAAAAUUGAAUANGCGAGGCGGGUUUGGGAGGAGGACGACGAAGAAGAGAUGAGCCUCUCCAUGGAAAGGGGGCGAGGAGGGGGCGGAGGGGGGGAGAGAAAGGAGAGAGAGGUUGACGGAGAGAAAUGGUUUGCGUAAACGGUCGCAAGGAAGAGAGUAGACCGGAGACACGGCAGCGAGAAAAGAAAAGUGGGAAAUGUAUGGAGAAACCCAACCCCUCAGUCAACUAUACAACGUUUUGAAAUAAAUCGGCUUAAUUACGCUAAUACCAUACUGUACUUUACUUUACUUUACUUCUUCUUCUUCUUCUUUUUUUCCCCUUUUUUUAACUUUUUAUUUAUAUACCGUAUUAUUUUUUUUAUUUUUCGAAUAUAUCACUUAACUAUUUUAUUUUUUUUCAAUUUCUGCAUAAUAAAUAAUAAAUCUAUAUAAUUAUAUAAAUUUAUAUAAAGGAUAUUUU